ACGGGAGGCAGCAGUGGGGAAUAUUGGGCAAUGGGCGAAAGCCUGACCCAGCGACGCCGCGUGAGGGAAGAAGGUCUUCGGAUUGUAAACCUCUUUCAGCAGGGAAGAAGUAUGACGGUACCUGCAGAAGAAGUCACGGCUAACUACGUGCCAGCAGCCGCGGUAAUACGUAGGUGGCGAGCGUUAUCCGGAAUUACUGGGUGUAAAGGGUGUGUAGGCGGAGAAGCAAGUCAGGCGUGAAAUUCAGAGGCUCAACCUCUGGACUGCGCUUGAAACUGUUUCCCUUGAGUGUGGGAGAGGUAAACGGAAUUCCUGGUGUAGUAGUGAAAUGCGUAGAUAUCAGGAGGAACACCGGUGGCGAAGGCGGUUUACUGGACCACAACUGACGCUGAGACACGAAAGCGUGGGGAGCAAACAGGAUUAGAUACCCUGGUA
rnacentral:rRNA from 1 species